CUACUAGGUUCUCCUAGUAGCAUGCUUGUUGGAGCGCCGAUCUUUCUCCUCUACCUCUUCUCUGAAGAGGCCUGAGGGUAUUGCUCCCGCCGGGAGUUAAAAGAAUGGAAGUGCACACGUUAGAUAACUCUGUGCAGUUACACUUUUACUUUUGGCCCCCAAUCAAGCAAGGCUACCCGCUGAACUUAAGCAUAUCAAUAAGCGGAGGAAAAGAAACCAACAGGGAUUGCCCUAGUAACGGCGAGUGAACAGGCAAGAGCUCAGAUUUGAAAGCCCCUUGGGGCAUUGUAUUCUGAAGCCUAGGUUCUGGGAAACCGGUGUUUAAGUCUUCUGGAAAGGAGCGCCACGGAGGGUGAUAGCCCCGUAUAGCACUGACCCCAUUGUAGAUCCUAGGCGUGGAGUCGAGUUGUUUGGGAAUGCAGCUCAAAUGGGUGGUAUGCUCCAUCUAAAGCUAAAUAUCUGCGAGAGACCGAUAGCGAACAAGUACUGUGAAGGAAAGAUGAAAAGAACUUUGAAAAGAGAGUGAAAUAGUACGUGAAAUUGUUGAAAUGGAAGGGUAGGCCGCUAACCACGUAGAGCCGUGUUUGGGGGGAGGAUAAAAGCUGUAGAAUGUGGCUCUUCGGAGUGUUAUAGCUACAGUGCAUACUCCCAUCCGGGCGCGAGGACCUAAGGCUCUGCUAAAUGGUG
rnacentral:rRNA from 1 species